rnacentral:rRNA from 1 species
UACGUAGGGGGCAAGCGUUGUCCGGAUUUAUUGGGCGUAAAGAGCGUGUAGGCGGCCAGGUAGGUCCGUUGUGAAAACUGGAGGCUUAACCUCCAGCUGUCGAUGGAAACCAUCUGGCUAGAGUCCGGAAGAGGAGAGUGGAAUUCCUGGUGUAGCGGUGAAAUGCGCAGAUAUCGGGAGGAACACCGAUGGCGAAGGCAGCACUCUGGGCCGGCACUGACGCUGAGGAGCGAAAGCGUGGGGAGCGAACAGG